rnacentral:lncRNA from 1 species
AACAUUUGAUGCCUGCAGGCUUUGGGAACUGGCAGUGAUUCACAGACAGCAAGCAGGAUGCUGGACAUUGGUCAAACUUUGGCCCUGCACACCUUCUCCCACUACCAGUUAUGCUGGUGAGAAGACUACAGCUGUCACCGGGAAGAAAGAGCCUGCCUAAAAAUCAGAGGGCAACGAAACUGAAAGGAAAGACACAGAAGUCUAAUGGCAUCAACUGAGUGCCUGGGCCCAGCUAUUCCUGAUGAUUUACUCCUGGAGUUUCCGACUUUAUACACCGACACAUUCUCUUUUUUCUUAAGUUAUUUAGACGCGGUUUUCAAGUCACUUGUGACUUCAAAACUCCUGACUUUUACAAGUUCCUGCUUGCCUCUAGUCCAGCCCCGACAUUGUACUCCUGUCUUCAACUGUGUGUACCCUAAGUCCUUGCCUUAAUUUUCUACCUAUUUCUCUUGUGCUUCCAAGUCUGUAGCCUUAUCUUUAGGGCCAGCCUAUCCCUUCCCUCUUUCUAGAAAUCAAAUAGGAGGCAACAGCACCUUUCAGAAAACAAGAAUGGAAUCUCAAAGUCCCAACCUCUUUAUACUUUUCCCAUGAUCAGUCUGCAACAUUAAGACAAGGGAAAGUUUGAGCAAGGCAAAUGGCAUGAUCUGGACGUGGCAGGAAAAAAAUGGGACAGACUCCGUUCCAGUGCUUUGAAAAUCUGUUGGUUGUAAGAUCUGGAGAAGGAACUCAAGUUCCAAUAAAUGUCACUGAACAAAUUGUA